UACGAAGGGGGCUAGCGUUGCUCGGAAUCACUGGGCGUAAAGGGUGCGUAGGCGGGUCUUUAAGUCAGGGGUGAAAUCCUGGAGCUCAACUCCAGAACUGCCUUUGAUACUGAGGAUCUUGAGUUCGGGAGAGGUGAGUGGAACUGCAAGUGUAGAGGUGAAAUUCGUAGAUAUUCGCAAGAACACCAGUGGCGAAGGCGGCUCACUGGCUCGACACUGACGCUGAGGUGCGAAAGCGUGGGGAGCAAACAGG
rnacentral:rRNA from 1 species